UACGUAGGAUGCAAGCGUUGUCCGGAAUUAUUGGGCGUAAAGAGCGCGCAGGCGGUAUGACAAGUCAGAUGUGAAAGAGGCCGGCUUAACCGGCAAGGGUCAUUUGAAACUGUCAGACUAGAGUGCAGCAGAGGAUAGUGGAAUUCCCGGUGUAGUGGUGAAAUGCGUAGAUAUCGGGAGGAACACCAGUGGCGAAGGCGACUAUCUGGGCUGCAACUGACGCUGAGGCGCGAAGGCUAGGGUAGCAAACGGG
rnacentral:rRNA from 1 species